rnacentral:lncRNA from 10 species
UUCUGCUCUGAUGUCUGCACUCAAGCUUUGGAGGCUCUUGCCAAGCAUUCACCCUCACAGGUUCUGGAACAAGCUCCAAGGCAGAGGGAUGAUGGCCUGGCUGAGCCGCACCGCGCAGGCGCUCUUCCCCAGCGCAGACGCCCUGCUCUGUCCUGACAGUCCCGCGUUGCCCUCAAUCUGAAGGUAUGGAUAAUUAAGGAAUUGAGAACUCCACUUGUCAAGACCUCAUAAUCGUAGACUUGAUUUUAAUGUUUGCUCUUUGCUGGAAUCCUAACGUAGUGAUGAAUGCAUGGGAACUCACAAAAACACACAUCGGACACAAGGCACAUAGCUGUUCUCCAAAUAAAGAUUUACUUUCUUCAAUGUGCCACCCUCUGAAUUGUAUUUAAUGCUUAAAAUUACCUUGGAAGGCAGGAAUUCAUCACUUUUGGAUGGGAAACUGGGGCUCAGAAUUUAAGUGACUUUUUCAAAUGACCCGAUAAAGUAGAAAUUUAAAAUUUCUGCAGCCAAACUCAGUUUUCUUUUCUUCAACACCUGCCUCUAUUGAUUAAAACUUCUUCAAGGGCUUUAAGGCUUAUCCGUACUAUGAAAAAUCAUUAUAUUAAGAAAACUUGGUUUGUCCUGCUUGCCGCUGCUGUCCUCAUUUCCUGCUAACAGGCUAAUAAAUAGUUCUGCAAUGGUCCAUUUCAGUAAUUUUCUAACUUUAGGUUGCAAAGGAAUCACUGAACAUAUUUUUUGAAAUUCGUAUUUCUUGGUUUCAUUUCCAAAAAUUCUGAGUCAGUAGGUUUGAGGAG